rnacentral:rRNA from 1 species
AUGCUAGAGACGCCUCCGACGGCAUGGUUUCUAUUCCUCUUCCCGCUCUUCCUCUCGUUUGUGUUUUAUUACUGGUUCACUUGGAAGACAGGAAAAAGGCAACAGCUUGCAGGCAGACUCCCGCCAUCACCACCGGCGCUGCCCAUCAUCGGCCACCUGCACCUCCUCGGCUCGCUCCCGCACGUCUCGCUCCGCAGCCUCGCCAGGAAGCAUGGCCCUGACGUGAUGCUCCUCCGUCUUGGCGCCGUGCCGACGCUCGUCGUGUCGUCGCCGCGUGCCGCAGAGGCCGUGCUGCGCACGCACGACCAUGUCUUCGCGUCACGGCCACACUCCAUGGUCACCGACAUCCUCAUGUACGGCUCGUCCAACAUCGGCUUUGCGCCAUAUGGCCAAGGCUGGCGGCAGGCAAGGAAGCUCCUCACCAACCACAUGCUGAGCGUUAGAAAGGUGCAGUCUUUCCGCAGCGCCAUCAUGGAGGAGGUGAGCUUGGUGGUGGCCAAGAUUCACGAGGCCGCCGCAGUCGGUGGUGUGGUGGACAUGAGUGAGCUGCUCAAGACAUUCACAUAUGACAUGGCAUGUCGCAUCGUGUCCGGAGAAUUCUUCCUAAAAGAAGGACAGAGCAAGUUGUUCCAAGACCUCACCAAUGAUACCUCACUGCUGCUAGGAGGGUUCAAGGUGGAGGAGUACUUCCCAACAUUGUCUAGGGUAGGACUGCUUAAAAGGGUAGGACUGCUUAAAAGGACAGUUCGUGCAAAGGCUGAGAGACUAAGGUAUAGAUGGGCCGAUCUGCUGGACAAGGUGAUCGAUUAUCAUGAGAACAAGGACAAGUCAGUGUUAGAUAACCAGGGUGGUAAUUUCGUCGAUAUUCUCUUGUCUGUUCAGCUGGAGUAUAGUCUCACAAGAGAACAGAUUAAAGCUCUCCUAACCGAUGUAUUUUUCGCUUCAACUGACACGUCAUCUAACACCCUCGAAUUCACAAUGGCUGAGCUCAUGAGGAGGCCCCGCCUGAUUGGGAAGCUACAAGACGAGGUAAGGAGUAUUGUACCCCAGGGACAGGAAAUUGUCAGUGAAGCCGACAUGAACAAUAUGACAUACCUAAGAGCAGUCAUAAAGGAGUCACUCCGACUUCAUCCUGUUGCACCUUUACUUGCUCCACACCUUGCCAUGGCUGACUGCAGUAUUGAUGGGUACAUGAUUCCUGCUGGAACGCAUGUCUUCGUCAAUGUAUGGGCCAUUGGUAGAGACUCUAGCUCUUGGGAGGACAGUGAAGAAUUCAUACCUGAAAGAUUUAUAGAGGAAGGCAGUGAUGUGCAUGUCAACUUCAUAGGGAAUAAUUUUAAGCUCUUGCCGUUCGGGGCAGGACGCAGGAUAUGCCCUGGUAUAAACUUCGGAAUCACGACUGUUGAGCUUAUGUUGGCAAACUUGAUGUACCAUUUCGACUGGGAACUGCCAAUAGGGUUUAAGAGGAAAGACAUUGAUAUGACAGAGGUGUUUGGACUAACUGUGCGCCUGAAGGAGAAAUUACUGUUAGUUCCAAAAUCACGCAUGUAA